ensembl:lincRNA
CUGCGGGUCAGGGACUCCAUCACCACUGCCCCGGCGGGGACCUUGUUCCCAGGGAGCUGCUGCCUCAGGGCGGCCUUCCGCAGCCCCAUGGCCACACCGCAGGUGCGCAAGAAGCAGGCGGGUCGCUGUCAUCCAGGCGCAGGGCCGCCUUCACGGCCAGCCCGGCUCUGCGCCCCGCGUCCUCCUCUGCUGAUGCCUGGGCGCUUAGAGCAACGCUUGGCCAAAGCGUCAUGGGCCGGGGUCUGUGGCGCGGAAACCACGAUCUCUUCUGGGUUCUUCUUGCCAUGCUGCUGUGACAGGAGCCUGCCGGGCCCAGGGAAGCGGCGCCUACAGACGCGGGCUGGGCUCUGGACACCGGCAGUGACCAGCUGCACCAGGUGGUUGGUGACAACGGGCGUCUGCAGCGAGGAGCGGGAGCCUCUCGGGGUGCUGACGGGUGACACUGCUGGACAGAUUAUACAUUUCAACUUUUCCAGUGACUUCUUGCACAGUGACAUUUUGGUAUAAGACAGUUGAUCAUUGAAAUUGGAUUUCCUGAAACACAGAUAAUCUCUUGACUGAGAAGGAAUACAGAGCCUCUGGGAGCCGGGGUCCUGGCACAGGGCUCGGUCUGGAUAGGGCUGGAGAGUGGGCCUCGGCAGGGCUGAGGUCACCAGACAUAAAUGGACUCCUACUAGGGCACUGGGCGGCAUUCGCCUCCUCCAGGAAACCGUAAGCUUCACGAAGGCAGGGCCUUUGUUCAUCCCAUCCUCAUCUUCAUCUGCACAUGCCUGCGACAGUGCCUGCCUGAAACACGGAGUGGUAGAAGAGUCAAUAUGUGUUUGAGUGAAGAAACGUUAGUUGACUUCUGAACUCAGAUCUUCUGGUGAGUGCCUCUGGGAAAAUCUUUUCCCUCCAUGAGAUCUUCUUCUCAUCCUGCAUGUUUUGUGUUCUUUACAACCUUUGGCACCCUGUUAAAAAGACCUCAGUGUGUGGAAGCAAGAGGAAAUAUUUGGGGUGACCACCGAAUCCACCUGGAUUUGUGAUCUCCAACACCCCCAUCUUUGAAACAACUUUGCUUAUCUCAACCCAGAAGUCAUAGCAAGGCACAGUCAUGCAGGAUCUCACCAGAGGCGGCACUGGCCCCUAGAGUGGGUACACAGACACUAGCUCUGGUGGUGUAGAGAUGGAGUCUUUCAUGUCCAAGUCAGCCCUGGUUUGUAGGGAAGCACCCAUGCCUGUGUCCCAAGCAUUCAGAGUGUGUCAGCUCCCUUAUUUGUCCACUCAUUCCUUAAAGUUUCUUAAAUGCUCACACACACUUAUUGGCACACAAGGUAGGAAAGUGAGUAGUCAGGAGACCUAAGAGAGCUGAGUACAGAGUGAGGGAGCAUGGAGAACAACUGAUUUCAGUCUCCUGGAUCCAGGAAGACACCUGGAAGUGGUCACUCUUGAGCAGAACGAGGCCAAGUAAAGAGGAGGUGGGAGCCAGGUGGGGAGAGAAACGUCAGACGCAUCACACACUCUCAACUGUGAGAGUUAGAACUGUUCUUGGGAACCCUGAAGUCCCAGACCUGGGAAGUGGGGAGCAGCACUCAUGAGCCCAGAGGGCAAUGAUGCCACUGUUGACCAAUGGCUGGGUGGGUAUGGGCCAAGCAUUGCUAGGUAAAUGCUUCCUGGACAUUUGAUUGCUCAUCAGAAUGUGGGGAGGCUGAUACUGGGGCUAGACCCAUCUUCGAGACGAGUAAAGACAAAUCCAGAACGAAGUGAGCUCACUGUGGUCCGCCAGGGGCUCAGCCAUUCUGAUGUCCCUGAUAGCCAAAGUGGUGGCAAGGAAGACCUGGCUGGUCCUCGCUACCUGGGUGCUGGGCUACCCACACUGCCCAUGUGACCCUGGAGGUUGCUUGGAGAGCAGAGGACACAGCUGAGGAGGGACCCUCUGCGUAGUAGGGCUGUGCCUGAGGACAGAGACGUCAGACCUGGGCCUGGCUGCCACCUUGUAGGACAGCAAGCUGACUUCCGUGAGCAGCUCUAGAACAUUUCCUGGGGAGCGGUGAGGAAAACUGUUGCCUCCACCUGAUUUUAACAUCUUUGGAGGCAUCACGUUACAUCAUCAGAGAACAAUGACAGGCUUCUUCCUUUACAAAAAUAUAUUUCAUAAAUAAACGUCCUAUACAUUUUUAACAGGGCACUCACAAGGUAAUUUCAUCUUUAUUUUUCUUCAUGGUGCUCCUUGCUCUCUGACAGUGUAUUUAUUUCCUUGUUUAUCAUCUAUGUCCCCAGCAAGGGCGUGUUUCACGGAAGAGCAGGGUGGCUCCACCUGUUCCCAGGGUCCUCAGUGUGGGCACAGGGCCUGGCACAGAGGAAGUCACAGAAACUCACAGCAUCCAGGCCUAAAAAAAUAUCAGUGAAACGCAAUGCCACGAAAGCAGUGUGAGUCUGCUCCUGACUUUCUUAAUGGCUUUGGGGGGACCUAGCUGGAGCUCAGAAUCACCACCUACUUUUGUGUGGCAUGUAUGAGGGGAUGAACUGUGACCUUUUAAAAUUAUUGUGGUGAAGUCCUAACCACCCGGUACCAUAGAAUGCCUUUAAAGAAGUGAUUAAAUUAAGAUGAGGUCUAAUCCAAUCUGUGUAGGAGAAAACCCUAACACUAAACCCACAGCGGCUGCAUGCUCAGAGAAAGGACUAUGUGAGGACACAGCAAGUGGUGGUCACCUGUAAGCCAAGGAGAGAGACCUCAGAGAAGCCACCCCCACCAAGCAGCACCCUGUUUCAGACUUCCAGCCUCUGAGACUGUAAAAAAAUAAAUCUCCACCGUUUAAAUCACUCAGCCUGUGAUGUUCUGUUACAGCAUCUCCACCGA